rnacentral:rRNA from 1 species
UACGUAGGGUGCGAGCGUUGUCCGGAAUUAUUGGGCAUAAAGGGCUCGUAGGCGGUUUGUCGCGUCGGGAGUGAAAACGCCGUGCUUAACACGGCGCUUGCUUUCGAUACGGGCAGACUAGAGGUAUUCAGGGGAGAACGGAAUUCCUGGUGUAGCGGUGAAAUGCGCAGAUAUCAGGAGGAACACCGGUGGCGAAGGCGGUUCUCUGGGAAUGACCUGACGCUGAGGAGCGAAAGUGUGGGGAGCGAACAGG